rnacentral:sRNA from 1 species
CCUAUACCCGGCCGUCGGGGC